AGUGAACGCUGGCGGUAUGCCUAACACAUGCAAGUCGAACGGCAGCACAGUAAGAGCUUGCUCUUACGGGUGGCGAGUGGCGGACGGGUGAGGAAUACAUCGGAAUCUACUUUUUCGUGGGGGAUAACGUAGGGAAACUUACGCUAAUACCGCAUACGACCUACGGGUGAAAGCAGGGGAUCUUCGGACCUUGCGCGAUUGAAUGAGCCGAUGUCGGAUUAGCUAGUUGGCGGGGUAAAGGCCCACCAAGGCAACGAUCCGUAGCUGGUCUGAGAGGAUGAUCAGCCACACUGGAACUGAGACACGGUCCAGACUCCUACGGGAGGCAGCAGUGGGGAAUAUUGGACAAUGGGCGAAAGCCUGAUGCAGCCAUACCGCGUGGGUGAAGAAGGCCUUCGGGUUGUAAAGCCCUUUUGUUGGGAAAGAAAAGCAGCAGGUUAAUACACCGAUGUUCUGACGGUACCCAAAGAAUAAGCACCGGCUAACUUCGUG
rnacentral:rRNA from 1 species